rnacentral:rRNA from 1 species
AUUGAACGCUGGCGGCAUGCUUUACACAUGCAAGUCGAACGGUAACAGGCCGCAAGGUGCUGACGAGUGGCGAACGGGUGAGUAAUGUAUCGGAACGUGCCCAGUCGUGGGGGAUAACGCAGCGAAAGCUGCGCUAAUACCGCAUACGAUCUAUGGAUGAAAGCGGGGGACCGUAAGGCCUCGCGCGAUUGGAGCGGCCGAUAUCAGAUUAGGUAGUUGGUGGGGUAAAGGCUCACCAAGCCAACGAUCUGUAGCUGGUCUGAGAGGACGACCAGCCACACUGGGACUGAGACACGGCCCAGACUCCUACGGGAGGCAGCAGUGGGGAAUUUUGGACAAUGGGCGCAAGCCUGAUCCAGCAAUGCCGCGUGCAGGAAGAAGGCCUUCGGGUUGUAAACUGCUUUUGUACGGAACGAAACGGUCUGGGUUAAUACCCUGGGCUAAUGACGGUACCGUAACGAAUAAGCACCGGCUAACUACGUGCCAGCAGCCG